rnacentral:rRNA from 1 species
GUCGAGAAUCAUUCACAAUGGGGGAAACCCUGAUGGUGUGACGCCGCGUGGAGGAUGAAGGUCUUCGGAUUGUAAACUCCUGUCAUGUGGGAGUAAAGCCGGGUGUUAAAUGCAUGCCGGUCUGAGAGUACCACAAGAGGAAGGGACGGCUAACUCUGUGCCAGCAGCCGCGGUAAUACAGAGGUCCCAAGCGUUGUUCGGAAUCACUGGGCGUAAAGGGUGCGUAGGCGGCGCGGAAAGUCAGGGGUGAAAUCCCGGAGCUCAACUCCGGAACGGCCUUUGAUACUCCCGCGCUUGAGAACUGGAGGGGAGACCGGAAUUCACGGUGGAGCAGUGAAAUGCGUGGAUAUCGUGAGGAACACUAGUGGCGAAGGCGGGUCUCUGGACAGUAUCUGACGCUGAGGCACGAAGGCCAGGGGAGCGAACGGGAUUAGAUACCCGGGUAGUCC